rnacentral:rRNA from 1 species
ACUCCUACGGGAGGCAGCAGUGGGGAAUCUUGGACAAUGGGGGCGAACCCUGAUCCAGCCAUGCCGCGUGAGUGAUGAAGGCCUUAGGGUCGUAAAGCUCUUUCGCCUGUGAUGAUAAUGACAGUAGCAGGUAAAGAAACCCCGGCUAACUCCGUGCCAGCAGCCGCGGUAAUACGGAGGGGUUAGCGUUGUUCGGAAUUACUGGGCGUAAAGCGCGCGUAGGCGGAUUAGUCAGUUAGAGGUGAAAUCCCAGGGCUCAACCCUGGAACUGCCUUUAAUACUGCUAGUCUUGAGUUCGAGAGAGGUGAGUGGAAUUCCGAGUGUAGAGGUGAAAUUCGUAGAUAUUCGGAGGAACACCAGUGGCGAAGGCGGCUCACUGGCUCGAUACUGACGCUGAGGUGCGAAAGUGUGGGAGCAAACAGGAUUAGAUACCC